rnacentral:rRNA from 1 species
UACAAUGCGGGAAACCGUGAUAAGGGAACUCCGAGUGCCCGUAAAAUCGGGCUGUCCAUCUGUUUAAAUAACAGGUGAAGAAAGGGCCGGGCAAGACCGGUGCCAGCCGCCGCGGUAAUACCGGCGGCUCGAGUGGUGGCCACUAUUACUGAGCUUAAAGCGUUCGUAGCUGGUCUGUUAAGUC